CAUCUGUCCCAAAGCCCAGUUCUAGUCACUGCCUUCUGUCCAAGGGAUCUCUUUCUUUUUGAGUAGGAUUUGAGCUUUGAGAGGGAAUUCUGCUCCUCUUAUCAUCUGGUCCCUUUCCUUCUAAGGCCCAGAAAAGGAAGACAUGCUGCGGAUUUCUGCUCUUUUUCUAGCUUUCCUGGCUCCUGCCACUCAGAUAUCUUCCAACUUGGAAGGGAGAAUGAUGUCAAUCACCAAGCAGCCUGGGUCGUAUGUUGCAAUCACUUGUGACAUUGUUAAUCAAAACAUCAACUACGUCCACUGGUACCAAUUCCGGGAAGGGAUGGCCCCACGCCGGCUUCUCUACUACCAGUUCUCCAGCUCAAAGUUUGUGGUGGAUGAGGGAAUCAGUUCAGAGAAGUACCAUGUUUAUGAAGGCCCAGGGAGGAGCUGUAAGUUUGUGCUCCGAAAUCUGGAAGAAAGUGAUUCUGGUGUGUAUUACUGUGCUGCCUGGGUGAUGCACAGUGAUUCAGACCUCCCUAGACUGCAGUGA